rnacentral:lncRNA from 1 species
AUGGAGCUGCCUCUGGGAGAUGCCCUCCUCCCCAUUCCACAGCCGGGAGGCACACAGGGCAGGAUUCCAGUUAGGAGCUCUUCCUCAGGGCUUCCCCUCCAGCUUCCUCCCACCCACCCCCACCCUCCCGGAAGCAGGAGAGGUCGCCCCCCACCCCGCCCCGCCCCGUCCCACAGUUUGCACAGUUGUAAUGGCGGAAACCAAGGCCCCACUAGGGUCAGUCACCAGGUGUCGGGCGAAGCAGUCCCAGCUGGGAACUGGAUCAGGCCAACAGGGAGCAGAGGAGUAAAGGCAGGGCGGCCCAGCCAGCUUCAGGGAGGCCGGUGGCAGACUAUUCACCAGGGAGCGCCCAGAUCUCUCCCCGGGCAGAGCAGGGAGAGGGGGCUAGGGCCAAGAUCCCCUCGGCUCUCCCCUCCAACUCCUUCCAGAGCGGCCCCGCGAUGCACCAGCCAGCAGGGCCCCUCCCCCACCUUGGGCCCAGGAGCCAUCCCCCAGCUCCUUCCAGAGGCGGGUGCAGAGACCGAGGAGGAAAUGGGGGAGGGGAGGCCCCGGCUCAAGUUCUCUCCACUCCCCCUCCUCAUUGGCCACCAUCUUCCGGCCCCUGCCCCCCGGAGCAGCAGGGGAUGGGGCCCAGCCUGCGGAAGGGAGAGAAAGGGCAGGUGGAGGGUUAGCCGGAGCAGCAGGGGCAGGGGCCGGCCCCAACUGUCUCCUCCCACCCCCUCCCCGCAGCCAUGGCGACGGGCGCAGGAGACCGGAGGGUCCUGGGCGCCAGGCUCGGGGAGCGGGCGGAGAGGGGCAGGGGGAGUGCAGGGUGGGGGCUCUCUCCCGCGACACCCAGCCGUGCCCCCGCACACACACCCCUCCGGGCUGGACCACACGCGCGCGCACACAAACUCCCAGCCCUACUUGCCACUCGGCUCAGCCCGCACUCCGCACUUCCCCGGGCAGCAAGCUGUGCGGCGCGAGCCCCAGGACCCCCGAUCCCCGCCCCGCACCCCCGCGUCCCGCACCCUGCGAGCUCCAGGGCCGGCCUCGCACCCGCACGCAGCCACCCCGGCUCACCCCACAACUUCUCAGGAUGCACAACUCCCCGGCCGGCUCGGCCCUCCCCGCACACACCCCCGCCCCCCCGCCCCCCGCACACGCGCCCGGGCGCCGACGGACCGCCCGGCCUCAGCCCUGCCCCGCCGCACCCCCCCCCGCCCCACCACACCCCCCGCUGGAAAAUGA